rnacentral:rRNA from 1 species
UACGGGGGGGGGCAAGCGUUGUUCGGAAUUACUGGGCGUAAAGGGCUCGUAGGUGGCCAACUAAGUCGGACGUGAAAUCCCUCGGCUUAACCGGGGAACUGCGUCUGAUACUGGAUGGCUUGAGUUUGGGAGAGGGAUGCGGAAUUCCAGGUGUAGCGGUGAAAUGCGUAGAUAUCUGGAGGAACACCGGUGGCGAAGGCGGCAUCCUGGACCAACACUGACACUGAGGAGCGAAAGCCAGGGGAGCAAACGGG